ACUUUCAGUUGUGAGGAAGGUGGUGUCGUUAAUAGCGGCAUCAUUUGACGUUAGCAACAGAAGAAGCACCGGCUAACUCCGUGCCAGCAGCCGCGGUAAUACGGAGGGUGCGAGCGUUAAUCGGAAUUACUGGGCGUAAAGCGCAUGCAGGUGGUUUGUUAAGUCAGAUGUGAAAGCCCGGGGCUCAACCUCGGAACUGCAUUUGAAACUGGCAGACUAGAGUACUGUAGAGGGGGUAGAAUUUCAGGUGUAGCGGUGAAAUGCGUAGAGAUCUGAAGGAAUACCGGUGGCGAAGGCGGCCCCCUGGACAGAUACUGACACUCAGAUUCGCGAAAGCGUGGGGAGCAAACAGGAUUAGAUACCCUCGGUAG
rnacentral:rRNA from 1 species